CUGAGAGGGCAAAGGUAGGGCAUCGGGACCCUGCGGGAGCGCCCCUUGUCUCCCGCUCAAACUUUCUUGUAAAGGACCCAAGAAAGGCAUUACAGCUUCCAAGAAUUCUUGCAUUGUUUAUCUUAUAUAUUCGAUUAAUCCUCCUCUUCCAGUUCUAUUGAUCCAAGAACCCGAUCCUAUAGCGCUAUCGGUCGUUAACAAAUGCAUUUUUCCUUUUUUUCGAUCUUGUACCUUAGUACACUGAACACCAACCCAAUCUCGACGAAAAAAAGGAAAAGCAAGUACAU
rnacentral:lncRNA from 1 species